rnacentral:lncRNA from 1 species
AAAUCAAACCCUUACAUUUCAGAGUUGAAUCGUUUAAGAAAAAAUGCCAGACCAUCCACCACCACCACACGGCGGCCACGGUCACGCACCACCCCCAGGUCCGGGACACCACGAGCCUCCUCCGCCCCAUGGCCAUGCUCCUCCUCCGGGGCCUCAUGCACCUCCUCCGGGACCCCAUGCACCUCCUCCGGGACCCCAUGCACCUCCUCCGGAACCCCAUGCACCUCCUCCGGGACCCCAUGCACCUCCUCAUGAUCCACACAAGCCACAUGACUGUCACCACGGUCACCACCACCCAUGAACCGAACUAGUCAUGAGGCCACGAUCGAGAAGCUAGUCUCAGCAAGUUGUUAUCUAUUUAUCUUUGUGCCUGUAAUGUGAUCUAGCUGCGGUUGUAGUUCUGAGUUGCUGGGUUUACUGGCUUUGCUCCAUUGAUCUCAUCGUUAUGUAAUGACUAAAAUAUGAGGACUAUGUAUGUAUCCAAAAGAAGGCUGAUCAUAUAUGUAUAAUAAGAAGAGUACUGGCUUUGUGGUUUAUGUAUAAUCCGCUUGUGUAAAACUUCUUCUUUUAUCCGUCUAAAUGUGAUGUAUAAUCAGAAAAUAUGGCCAGUUUGUCAUCUUGACCAACCUGAACUUACAAACUAAUUAAUUAAGUCAAUCUCCCCAAUUUCAUCAAUCUUCAUUAGGAUUUCAUCACUAGCUCAUUCCUUCACAGAUAAUUAACCAUUUGCUCGAUUGCUCUUAACAAACUGUAAUAGCCAAGAGGCAAACGCAUCCAUCUAAAUUCUAAAAAGUUAUUAACACAGGCUAGGGGUAAAUUAUCCUUUGUUCAGACCAAUCUCACAGUUGAAGCGAUGAAUUGGCUAAAACAAAAGCCUACGGGCAGAAAAACAAAGCAUCUCUAUUCGUACGGAAGAAUGACUUCCAUAUAUAGUAAGCCUUAUAGUUAUAACACCGUAAGUGUAUAAGAAUAGGAAUUCAUAAACGCAAUAAGAAGAAGACCGUGAAAGAGAUCGAAGAUUAAAGCAGGCCUUAAUGUCUUGUAUAUUCUGUACAAAAUUUCAACAGCCAGAUUUUCUCGAUGCAUUCGUCAGCUUCUGUUUGUAACCUUUCUUCUGUCAAAUCCUCCAUGGCUUUUCACGAGCAAUAAUUCUUGCAAGGUCCCAUUAACAAGCCUCACGUACGUUGUUCUUAUCUCCUUUUCCUUAGCUCACCAAGAAUUCAACUAUUACCAAGUGCAGCAACUAGUUUCUGUGAUCGAUCUACGGAAAGUUAAAGUUAUUGCUCAAAAGAGAAAGAGAAAACGGAAGUUAAAGUUCCAUGCUGCCCUAGUUCAAGUACGCACUCAGUUAUGAUCUUGUGGUUCUUACAAUGGAUGAAUGGAUGAAGCAUUACCACACAAAUACUCAGAAGAGAAAAACAAAACAACCACAGUGCACGAUUAACAUGCUAGCUAGCUUUCAUUGUGUGCAAAUAUCCUGAGCUACCAUUCC